rnacentral:rRNA from 1 species
AGAGUUUGAUCAUGGCUCAGGAUGAACGCUAGCUACAGGCUUAACACAUGCAAGUCGAGGGGAAACGACAUCGAAAGCUUGCUUUUGAUGGGCGUCGACCGGCGCACGGGUGAGUAACGCGUAUCCAACCUGCCCAUCACUUGGGGAUAACCUUGCGAAAGUAAGACUAAUACCCAAUGACGUCUCUAGAAGACAUCUGAAAGAGAUUAAAGAUUUAUCGGUGAUGGAUGGGGAUGCGUCUGAUUAGCUUGUUGGCGGGUAACGGCCACCAAGGCGACGAUCAGUAGGGGUUCUGAGAGGAAGGUCCCCCANAUUGGAACUGAGACACGGUCCGAAACUACCUACGGAGGCAC